rnacentral:rRNA from 1 species
UGCAGUCGAACGAUGAUGCCCAGCUUGCUGGGUGGAUUAGUGGCGAACGGGUGAGUAACACGUGAGUAACCUGCCCUUGACUUCGGGAUAACUCCGGGAAACCGGGGCUAAUACCGGAUAUGAGCUGCCUUCGCAUGGGGGUGGUUGGAAAGUUUUUCGGUCAGGGAUGGGCUCGCGGCCUAUCAGCUUGUUGGUGGGGUGAUGGCCUACCAAGGCGACGACGGGUAGCCGGCCUGAGAGGGCGACCGGCCACACUGGGACUGAGACACGGCCCAGACUCCUACGGGAGGCAGCAGUGGGGAAUAUUGCACAAUGGGCGAAAGCCUGAUGCAGCGACGCCGCGUGAGGGAUGAAGGCCUUCGGGUUGUAAACCUCUUUCAGCAGGGAAGAAGCGCAAGUGACGGUACCUGCAGAAGAAGCGCCGGCUAACUACGUGCCAGCAGCCGCGGUAAUACGUAGGGCGCAAGCGUUGUCCGGAAUUAUUGGGCGUAAAGAGCUCGUAGGCGGUUUGUCGCGUCUGGUGUGAAAACUCGAGGCUCAACCUCGAGCUUGCAUCGGGUACGGGCAGACUAGAGUGCGGUAGGGGAGACUGGAAUUCCUGGUGUAGCGGUGGAAUGCGCAGAUAUCAGGAGGAACACCGAUGGCGAAGGCAGGUCUCUGGGCCGCAACUGACGCUGAGGAGCGAAAGCAUGGGGAGCGAACAGGAUUAGAUACCCUGGUAGUCCAUGCCGUAAACGUUGGGCACUAGGUGUGGGGCUCAUUCCACGAGUUCCGUGCCGCAGCAAACGCAUUAAGUGCCCCGCCUGGGGAGUACGGCCGCAAGGCUAAAACUCAAAGGAAUUGACGGGGGCCCGCACAAGCGGCGGAGCAUGCGGAUUAAUUCGAUGCAACGCGAAGAUCUUACCAAGGCUUGACAUGCACGGGAAGUCCACCAGAGAUGGUGGUCUCUUUGGACACUCGUGCACAGGUGGUGCAUGGUGUCGUCAGCUC